GUGUAAACUUUUAAAAGUGAAAAGUAAGAAGGAUAAAUUUAUGGAUUCCAGUGUCUCGAGUAAAGCGUCAGUAAGUACUUUUGAUUCAGCAAUUUCAGCUCUGGAUGCAACUGCUGCUAGUACUGAUUUAGAAUCACACGAUGACGACUCCAUAGUAAGACCACGGCGCGUGGGUAGAUCUAGCGUGAUGAUAGAAGAGUCUGCCUCGGAGGACGAGGAAGAAAGCGAUGAGACUGAAGGAGACACUACCAGGAACGAAGAAGACGGAGAAACUGAUGAAGAGGGCUCGCUUGAAAAGGAGAGGCAGCAUCCCGAACCCUCAGAGUCUGAAGAAAACAACUCUGACGUAGUAGUAGUAGUACUAUCAACUGAUGAAGAUGAGGAGUUAAGUGGUAGUCACCCUAAAGGACAAUAUCAUGAAGCCUCAGAGUCUGAAGAAAACAAUUCAGACUCACAUUCCGAUGAAGAUGAUGACUCAAGUGAUAGAGACGAUUCUGAUUCCAAAGGACGAUAUUGUGAACCCUCAGAGUCUGAAGAAAACAAUUCAGACUCACAUUCCAAUGAAGAUGAUGACUCAAGUGAUAGAGACAAUUCUAAUUCCAAAGGACGAUAUCGUGAACCCUCACAAUCUGAAGAAAACAACUCGGACUCGGGUCCAGACCAAUCUCAUUCCGAUGAAGACAAUGAGUCAAGUUAUAAUGAUGCUAAGACAAGCGAACCACCUCAGCCUCUGUCAUCCCUUGUACACAAGCUUACUCUCAGUUCGUCUCACAAAGAAGCUGCCAGGAAGCCAGUAGCCAUUUAUCAUCCUCCUUUACAUGGACCGAGACCCACUCCUCCUACUACCAGUACUCCGACCAUUAGUGCCAAGAGUGGUCUGACAAGUGCUAAUAAAGAGAAUGAGGGGGACGAAGAUGAGAAAGAAAAAGAGAAAGGGUUCGAGGUGGGAUUUCAGUUUAGAAAGCUAGUGAAGCAGCUGUAUGAACAACAGACGCUAUUUGAUAGAUUUGGAGCUCACCUUCCAGACAAUGGAUCAAGUAUCAAAAUGAAUAUAGAGAGUAUCAAAAAGAGAAUGAUUCAUCUAAGAGGCUAUGUCCCUUCUAGUGGAGAGAUUAUUGAGAUGCUGCGUCAACCCGAGGACCCGAAACAGUCAGCUGUUGCUAGUAGCCAUUCAGGACAGUCUACCAAUGUAGCGCAGCCUGGACUAAGAAAGGGCCUAAUGGUACAUGCACAGGCAAAGUUUCUAAGUGCUAAUGUUGUUUCAAGCCUUCACAAUACUAUAUCCUCCAGACCAACUGAGGAUACUCCAACAGAUCCUCCUCGUGGCUUGAAGGUGCCACUGAUGGCUCAUCAGAAAACAGCUCUCACAUUCUUACUGUGGAGAGAGAAACAAGUACCACGUGGUGGCAUACUAGCUGAUGACAUGGGGCUUGGUAAAACUCUAUCAAUGAUUUCAUUGAUAAUGAAGAAGAAGCAGCUAGAGGAGGCUGAGAGUGAGCCCCAGUCCACUGGAGAGAGUAGAGGUAGGCCUACACUGAGGACUGAAGCUACACUGGUAGUGGCUCCUCUUACUUUGUUGAGCAUUUGGGAGAACGAAAUUGAGUCAAAAUUAUAUUCAGGAAACCUGUCCGUGUUUCGUUACCACGGACCAAAAAGACCAAAGGACCCACGCGUGCUUAUAGACUACGAUGUAGUCAUUACUACCUACGAUAUUAUUGGAAUGGAAGGAAAUGCCAUUAAUGCGGCGACUGAUACUUCUGGUAAAGCCAAGAGAAGUGCCCACCCAACCUUGUUCCACAUUCACUGGAAGAGGAUCAUAUUAGAUGAAGCUCACAUCAUUAGAAAUCCUAAAUCAGCUACUAGUGAAGGUUGCUGUAGCCUUGAUGCUGAUUAUCGUUGGGCCCUUACUGGUACUCCCAUACAGAACAAGCUUAAAGACUUCUACAGCUUAAUAAAGUUCCUUCAUGUUGCUCCCUUUGAUGAUCUUAGAGUUUGGAAGGACACUAUUGAGGGUAGAAACUUAGGAAUGAAGAGGUUACAGGCGAUGGUCUCAUGCUUAGUUUUGAGAAGACUAAAAGAAGAGUUUGAAUCAACUAAGCUACCAGCGAAAAAUGUGGUAUGUCACAAGCUUGCUCUCAAUCCGGAGGAGAGGAGUAUCUAUAAUGUGCUCUUUCAUUUCAGCAGAGACUUCUUUAUGAAGUAUUUAACUGAGUUGGGUGAAUUUGAUAUGCUUCCUGAUUCAGCUCCAUCCCUCAGUAGUCUACUGCACAAAGUCCCGUCUCAUUUAAGAUCCUCUGUUGAAACUUUAAUGGAAUCAAUGAUACCUAACAUUGAGGAAAUGGAAGGACAGCGUCGGUCAGGGUCCAUGAUAUUGUUACUGUUAUUAAGAUUGAGGCAGUGUUGUAAUCAUCCUAAUCUCUUGUCUACUGCUCUAACCUCUGAAGUGUUGGCUGAGGAUGAUCUAGCACUAGCUAUGGGAGCUCUCUCUAUUGGGGCCACCUCUGAGCCAAAACAAGACCUAUCUGUUAGUUCCAAAGGAUUUUUCCAUAGCUCUCACAUCAGUAGUAAGGUCCAGUCUAUCAUUACUAAACUGGAUGAAAUCUUUUCUAAUGAGGACCCCAAUGAGCCAUUACCUAAUAAAUGUAUCAUAGUGUCACAGUGGACCAGCAUGUUGCAUAUCAUUGAGCAUCACUUAACACUGUCUAACAUAUCAUGUACAAAGAUUGACGGAAAAGUUCCUCUUAAAGACCGUCAUGCUAACAUUGAUGCAUUUAACAGGAAAUCACCUAACCCAAGAGUUAUGUUAUUAUCAUUACAAGCUGGUGGUGUUGGUCUAACACUGACUGCUGCCAAUCACGUCUUUAUCACUGACCUCCACUGGAAUCCUCAAUUGGAGCAGCAGGCAUCAGACAGGUGUCAUCGUGUUGGUCAAACACGGACAGUAACUAUCCACAGGUUUAUGACUGAGAAUACAGUAGAGAGAGUCAUAGCAGUGAUACAGGAAAACAAGUUGAAAUUAGCUUCUGAUGUUCUUGGAGGGUCUACCAAGAAAGGAAGGAAGGGUAUGGGGCUGACACUUCAAGAGCUCAAAAUGCUCUUUGAAAUACCUUAACUCAUGAUCAUUUAUUAUAAUUGAUUUCAUUUAUAUGCUGCCCACUUGAUGUUGUACUGUAUUGUCAUUGACUAUUGAUUUUAAAUCAUUAGUUUAGUAAAACUGUCACACAAACAAGGGAAAAUGGGAUUUGUGUCAUUGAUAACAAAAAUUCUAUUAUCAUUAGAUCUACCAUCAUAUUGUAACUAGAUUCAUUGCUCCACUUAUCUAGUCACGUGAAGCUAUUUUGCUGUCACCGCAAGAAAUACAGCAACCCUCCAGCUCCAGUACCCAGCUUGGUUUAAGCAUGGCAAGUUCUUCUGUGAAACAACAGAUACUAGGUGUUGGAGAUCUUGUUAAAGUACUUGGUUUAUUGAAGAAGCAUGGAUAUUCUGGUGUAGAUUAUUAUGAGCUUGGUCUUCAACUCGGUCUGCUCUCACCUACACUUGAUGUUAUUGAUAGGAAUUUUCGUGGAGAUGUGAGUGGUGGUCUAAGAGAGUGUUUGAAAGCAUGGUUGAAGCAAGCUGAUCAAGUAAAAAGUACAGGUGGCCCAACUUAUGAUUCACUAAUACAAGCUUUGAGAAAGAUUGGAGAAAAUGCUGUUGCAGAGGGGAUAAAAAAUCAUGAGGAAUAGAUUGUGGAUCAGCAAGCAUUAUCAUCACAUAUGUGGCAGGAUAUGGAAACAUUAUAUGUACAUUAAAACCCUAUUGUUACCAGUAACUCAGUUAGCUUAAAUGUUAUAUAGAUAUGUAUUGCUGUAUUAUUAUAAUAUUAUAUAUAUAUAUUCAUUUUCUUAUUGGCCAUGCUAUAUCUCCCAGUGUCA
rnacentral:misc_RNA from 1 species